rnacentral:rRNA from 1 species
AACGAACGCUGGCGGCAUGCCUAACACAUGCAAGUCGAACGAGACCUUCGGGUCUAGUGGCGCACGGGUGCGUAACGCGUGGGAACCUGCCCUUAGGUUCGGAAUAACUCCCCGAAAGGGGUGCUAAUACCGGAUAAUGUCUUCGGACCAAAGAUUUAUCGCCUUUGGAUGGGCCCGCGUUGGAUUAGCUAGUUGGUAGGGUAAAAGCCUACCAAGGCGACGAUCCAUAGCUGGUCUGAGAGGAUGAUCGGCCACACUGGGACUGAGACACGGCCCAGACUCCUACGGGAGGCAGCAGUGGGGAAUAUUGGACAAUGGGCGAAAGCCUGAUCCAGCAAUGCCGCGUGAGUGAUGAAGGCCUUAGGGUUGUAAAGCCCUUUUACCCGGGAUGAUAAUGACAGUACCGGGAGAAUAAGCUCCGGCUAACUCCGUG